CCAGCAGCCGCGGUAAUUCCAGCUCCAAUAGCGUAUAUUAAAGUUGUUGCAGUUAAAAAGCUCGUAGUUGGAUUUCUGGCAGGGCGCCGAUGCCCGCUUGUUGCGUGUGCAGAGCGCCCUACCAUCCUUCUGUUAACUCUAAUAGGCAUUGAUUUGUCUGUAGAGGGCUCAGAUAUUUUACCUUGAGAAAAUUAGAGUGUUUCAGGCAGGCUUGCGCCGGAAUACAUUAGCAUGGAAUAAUAGAAUAGGACUUGAACCUCUUCUGUUGGUCUGAGGGGUUGAAGUAAUGAUUAAUAGGGAUAGUUGGGGGCAUUAGUACUUAACUGUCAGAGGUGAAAUUCUCGGAUUUGUUAAAGACUAACUUAUGCGAAAGCAUUUGCCAAGGAUGUUUUCAUUAAUCAAGAACGAAAGU
rnacentral:rRNA from 1 species